rnacentral:rRNA from 1 species
GGAAUUGACGGGGAGCACUACAACGGGUGGAGCCUGCGGUUUAAUUGGACUCAACGCCGGAAAACUCACCGGGGGCGACAGCAAUAUGUAGGUCAAGCUAAAGACUUUACCAGAAUCGCUGAGAGGAGGUGCAUGGCCGUCGUCAGUUCGUACUGUGAAGCAUCCUGUUAAGUCAGGCAACGAGCGAGACCCGUGCCCACUGUUGCCAGCAUGUCCUUCGGGACGAUGGGUACUCUGUGGGGACCGCCGAUGCUAAAUCGGAGGAAGGUGCGGGCUACGGUAGGUCAGUAUGCCCCGAAUCUCCCGGGCUACACGCGGGCUACAAUGACUGGGACAAUGGGCUCCUACCCCGAAAGGGGAUGGUAAUCUCAUAAACCCAGCCGUAGUUCGGAUCGAGGGCUGCAACCCGCCCUCGUGAAGCUGGAAUCCGUAGUAAUCGCGUUCCAACAUAGCGCGGUGAAUACGUCCCUGCUCCUU